rnacentral:rRNA from 1 species
GACGAACGCUGGCGGCGUGCCUAAUACAUGCAAGUUGAGCGCUGAAGGUUGGUACUUGUACCCACUGGAUGAGCAGCGAACGGGUGAGUAACGCGUGGGGAAUCUGCCUUUGAGCGGGGGACAACAUUUGGAAACGAAUGCUAAUACCGCAUAAAAACUUUAAACACAAGUUUUAAGUUUGAAAGAUGCAAUUGCAUCACUCAAAGAUGAUCCCGCGUUGUAUUAGCUAGUUGGUGAGGUAAAGGCUCACCAAGGCGAUGAUACAUAGCCGACCUGAGAGGGUGAACGGCCCCAUUGGGACUGAGACACGGCCCAAACUCCUACGGGAGGCAGCAGUAGGGAAUCUUCGGCAAUGGACGAAAGCCUGACCGAGCAACGCCGCGUGAGUGAAGAAGGUUUUCGGAUCGUAAAACUCUGUUGGUAGAGAAGAACGUUGGUGAGGGUGGAAAGCUCAUCAAGUGACGGUAACUACCCAGAAAGGGACGGCUAACUACGUG